rnacentral:lncRNA from 1 species
UUUUUGGUACAACGAUUGCUCAUGUCAAUCUAGCAUGAGUGUAACCAACAAAGUCAAGAAAAACAAAGUAGCAUAAAGGUGGGCGAUAUCAGACUAUGUCCACAAGACCUUUCUUGAAUGAUAAGCAACAAAGGAGGCGACCCAAUAUGCCACCCUAUUCGCCUCUCUGUACAUAUGAGCUGGCUGAAAAGAGUAGUAGUCUCUCACCAACCUCUGGAUAUCCUAAGCAGUAGGUAGUCGUUGCCUUAUCUCUCUACAUCCCGAAUCCACUCGAUCAUCAUAGCAGAGUCUCCUUCCAGGAAUAUGU